rnacentral:rRNA from 1 species
ACGCUGGCGGCAUGCUUUACACAUGCAAGUCGGACGGCAGCACAGAGAAGCUUGCUUCUUGGGUGGCGAGUGGCGAACGGGUGAGUAACAUAUCGGAACGUACCGAGCAGUGGGGGAUAACUAAUCGAAAGAUUAGCUAAUACCGCAUAUAUUCUGAGGAAGAAAGCAGGGGACCAUUUGGCCUUGCGCUGUUUGAGCGGCCGAUAUCUGAUUAGCUAGUUGGUGGGGUAAAGGCCUACCAAGGCGACGAUCAGUAGCGGGUCUGAGAGGAUGAUCCGCCACACUGGGACUGAGACACGGCCCAGACUCCUACGGGAGGCAGCAGUGGGGAAUUUUGGACAAUGGGCGCAAGCCUGAUCCAGCCAUGCCGCGUGUCUGAAGAAGGCCUUCGGGUUGUAAAGGACUUUUGUCAGGGAAGAAAAGGACAGGGUUAAUACCCCUGUCUGAUGAAGGUACCUGAAGAAUAAGCACCGGCUAACUACGUGCCAGCAGCCGCGGUAAUACGUAGGGUGCGAGCGUUAAUCGGAAUUACUGGGCGUAAAGCGGGCGCAGACGGUUACUUAAGCAGGAUGUGAAAUCCCCGGGCUCAACCUGGGAACUGCGUUCUGAACUGGUGACUAGAGUGUGUCAGAGGGAGGUAGAAUUCCACGUGUAGCAGUGAAAUGCGUAGAGAUGUGGAGGAAUACCGAUGGCGAAGGCAGCCUCCUGGGAUAACACUGACGUUCAUGCCCGAAAGCGUGGGUAGCAAACAGGAUUAGAUACCCUGGUAGUCCACGCCCUAAACGAUGUCGAUUAGCUGUUGGGCAGCUUGACUGCUUAGUAGCGAAGCUAACGCGUGAAAUCGACCGCCUGGGGAGUACGGUCGCAAGAUUAAAACUCAAAGGAAUUGACGGGGACCCGCACAAGCGGUGGAUGAUGU